rnacentral:rRNA from 1 species
UACGGAAGGCAGCAGUGGGGAAUAUUGCACAAUGGGCGAAAGCCUGAUGCAGCUAUGCCGCGUGUAUGAAGAAGGCCUUAGGGUUGUAAAGUACUUUCAUCGGGGAGGAAAAAAACAAAACUAAUAAUUUUAUUUCUUGACGUUACCCGAAAAAGAAGCACCGGCUAACUCCGUGCCAGCAGCCGCGGUAAUACGGAGGGUGCUAGCGUUAAUCAGAAUUACUGGGCGUAAAGAGCACGUAGGUGGUUUUUUUAAGUCAGAUGUGAAAUCCCUGGGCUUAACCUAGGAACUGCAUUUUGAAACUGAAAUACUAGAGUAUCGUAGAGGGAGGUAGAAUUCUAGGUGUAGCGGUGAAAUGCGUAGAUAUCUGGAGGAAUACCUGUGGCGAAAGCGGCCUCCUAAACGAAUACUGACACUGAGGUGCGAAAGCGUGGGGAGCGAAACAGGGAUUAGACUACC